AUAUAAGCAAAAUUGACUUUUUUUGUUCAUUCAAUUAAUGAUGUAUGUGGUCUAUAAUAUGAACCACAUACAUCAUUAAUUGAAUGAACUUAAAAAGCCAAUUUUGCUUAUAU
rfam:Medicago truncatula strain A17 chromosome 3, whole genome shotgun sequence.